GACUCUCGGCAACGGAUAUCUAGGCUCUCGCAUCGAUGAAGAACGUAGCAAAAUGCGAUACUUGGUGUGAAUUGCAGAAUCCCGCGAAUCAUCGAGUCUUUGAACGCAAGUUGCGCCCGAAGCCAUUAGGCCGAGGGCACGCCUGCCUGGGCGUCACGC
rnacentral:rRNA from 1 species